rnacentral:lncRNA from 1 species
UGAGCAAAGUGUUAGCUUUAAUUCUGUCUCAAUGCAACGACACAGAAACAAUAAGGCAUCAAAAUUUAAAAGACAACAACAGGGUCCAAAGCAGGACAUGAAAGAAACAAUCUGGAGGAGGCGGAGAGGCUGAGGAGUAAUUAAGAGAGGAGAUUGUUUUUUACAGAAACACCAGGACGUGCGGCCGUUUCCAGUCUGUUUUCUGGAGAUGCCAAAGUUUAGCGACGCUGCUUCGGGCCCAUUCGGCGAAACGCAAUCACCGCGCCGCUCCAUUCACGGCUCGCAGGACGAGCGGUACAUUCAUUUGGAUUCAGCCGGCGUAAAUCAGAGAGGGAACCGAGCCAGAGAGACGUUCCAUAACCUGCUCCCCUGAGGAUAAAACCCUGAGGAAACUCGAGACGUUUCCCGACACUUUCUGUGCACGGCCG